CCCAGCCCAAUACAGCUUGAAAGGCAUCGAACCCUAUCGCUCCAGGCUCCACCCAUCGUUGCGCGUGCUCGAACAUGGGGCGCCACCGGCGAGCUCCUCGGCGCCUGCCGCUCAUGGCCGCUGGAUAGUCCAUGACUACACCGAUAUGCAUUGAGAGGAAAUAUUGUUGUCAUGCGUGCCCGGGCAGCCCAAUACCGGAAUUUGCUGUUUUGCUCAAUUUCGUCCGGAACGACUGAAAUUGACCAGAAUUCUAGCCGGUAUGGAACGCACUCCUCUUCAUAUCGUUUUCCUUGACGGCACGGAACGUGCCGGUGAUUACGGCCGGAACAGAAUUUACAAGUAUAGUGACUCCAGAAGCCAUUGAUGCAUUGGCUUGCUCCAGUCCUGGACCACUCUCACUUGACUGCUCAUACCCUUGAGCUUGAGCUUCUGACCAGAUCAUGCAGGGGAGGAAAGCGUACCGGUACAGUACUAUUCUCGGGGCCACACUUUGAUGGCUUAGACACUGACAUGAAUUUGUUUCGCUAA